rnacentral:rRNA from 1 species
UACAGAGGCCCCAAGCGUUGUUCGGAUUCACUGGGCGUAAAGGGUGCGUAGGUGGCGAGGUAAGUUUGAUGUGAAAUCUCCGAGCUCAACUCGGAAAUGGCAUUGAAUACUAUCUUGCUGGAGGAUGGAGGGGGACUGGAAUUCUCGGUGUAGCAGUAGAAAUGCGUAGAUAUCGAGAGGAACACCAGUGGCGAAGGCGAGUCCCUGGACGAAUACCUGACACUGAGGCACGAAAGCUAGGGGAGCAAACAGG